rnacentral:lncRNA from 1 species
GAAUAUCAGCAUGCUUCUAUUUGUAGUAUGGUUCAUGUUAGUAGCUCGAAUUCAUGGAUUUGCAUAUUCUAUUUGGAAUCUGAAUUUAGAGUAUAAUUUAAUGAUGGUAGAUAAAUUUCAUAUAUGCUGGACUGGGAUUUGACUUAGGAGAAAACUCGUUAAACCUACACUAUCCCUUUUUGAAAAGUAACCGAAUUAGCUUCAGGAGCUGUUAUUCUUUUGUAUCACCGUUGUUAGUGUGUAGUGGAUACUCAGAUUAGUGUAGGUUGAGGUUACGCUCGUGUUGAGGGACCGAGCUUGUUUUACAGUAGGGUUUGGACUGUUUUGUACUGUCAGAAGCCGUCGGGGGUUGACGGUGGACCCAGAUGUUUACAUCUUAUUUCAGAUUGAGCCGAGGGCACGUGAGCUUUGGUUGUUAGAUCAGUUUGACCCAUUUGCAUUG